UUCUGUAGGUGGUGUUGUAAGUUAAAGGUUAAAACCUCCGGCUCAACCGGAGAAUCGCUUUUAAUACUGCAGCACUAGAGGCAAACAGGGAAAGUAGAACGCAUGGUGUAGUGGUAAAAUACGUUGAUAUCAUGCGGAAUACCGAAGGCGUAGGCAGCUUUCUGGGUUUGUUCCUGACACUGAGAGACGAAAGCGCGGGGAGCAAAAC
rnacentral:rRNA from 1 species